CGCGGGGUGGAGCAGUUCGGUAGCUCGUCGGGCUCAUAACCCGAAGGUCACAGGUUCAAAUCCUGUCUCCGCAACCA
rnacentral:tRNA from 3 species